GUCAUGGCGGGCAACCCUCCCACUCCACAGAUGAAGAAACUGAGGCCCCGAGGAAGCUUGUCAGGAAGAGCCGGGACUUGAAUGCAGGUGGAGGGUCCCUGAACAGAGCUGUCCCAGGAAAACACCAACAAGCUCUUAAAGCCAGGUAUAUUGGGGCUGGGGAUGUGGCUCAAACGGUAGCGCACUCGCCUGGCAUGCGUGCGGCCCCGGUUUGAUCCUCAGGACCACAUACAAACAAAGAUGUUGUGUCUGCCGAAAACUAAAAAUUAAAUAUUAAAAAUUCUCUCUCUCGGGCUGGGGAUGUGGCUCAAGCGGUAGCGCACUCGCCUGGCAUGCGUGCGGCCCCGGUUUGAUCCUCAGGACCACAUACAAAUAAAGAUGUUGUGUCUGCCAAGAACUAAAAUAAUAAAUAUUAAAAAAAAUUCUCUCUC